AGUUCCAUGGUUUAAGCGUUGUAUUCUGUUCUCCUGGGAUAUGGACUGAUUCACAUUGAAAGUGUCAUCACUGGAUUGUUUAUAGCCGCUGGACAGCAGGGAGAAAAUGGGGGGAGAAUCAUCAGUGAAGUAAAAGCCUCCCCUGAUCAUUGCACCUGCCAAGUAUAUGCUAGAAAUUUCUCCCAAACACCAGGAAGCAUGGUGCAGGAAGCUUAUGGGGGAAGAGAAUCAGCUGUCUGGCAGCUGACAGUUGACCGGGCUUCCCAUAGGAGAAGAUGCCGUAAGGGAAUGUUUCCCAUGGAGCUUUUUCAGAUCGGGAAGCAUGGUCAGCCAGGGAAUUGAAGAAUGAUGAAGAGAUGGUGAAUAAUUAAAGCAACACCAACACCAAUAUUCAUACUAUCCUCAGUCAUCUUGCAAUGAUAAAAUAAACUC